rnacentral:rRNA from 1 species
GCGUUUUCCCAAUAGUAGUGUGACGGUAUGCAUGACUCUUGGCAACGGAUAUCUAGGCUCUCGCGUCGAUGAAGAACGUAGCGAAAUGCGAUACUUGGUGUGAAUUGCAGAAUCCCGUGAACCAUCGAGUCUUUGAACGCAAGUUGCGCCCGAGACCGUCAGGUC